GACGAACGCUGGCGGCGUGCUUAACACAUGCAAGUCGAACGGUGAACCUGCUUCGGUGGGGGAUCAGUGGCGAACGGGUGAGUAACACGUGGGCAACCUGCCCUCAGCUCUGGGAUAACUCCAAGAAAUUGGGGCUAAUACUGGAUAUGACUGCUGACCGCAUGGUCUGGUGGUGGAAAGAUUUAUCGGCUGGGGAUGGGCCCGCGGCCUAUCAGCUUGUUGGUGGGGUAGUGGCCUACCAAGGCGA
rnacentral:rRNA from 1 species